rfam:Triticum aestivum genome assembly, contig: Triticum_aestivum_CS42_TGACv1_scaffold_329816_4BS
GCUCAGUUGGUAAAGCACAAGGCUUUUAACCUUGUGGACGUGGAUUCAAGCCCCAU